GUACACGCUGUGACUAGCAUAUCAAUAAGCGGAGGAAAAGAAACUAACUAGGAUUCCCUCAGUAACGGCGAGUGAAGCGGGAAGAGCUCAAAUUUGAAAUCUUCAAGGUUCUACCUUGACGAAUUGUAGUUUAAAGAAGUGUUUUCUGUUGGAGUUUUGGUAAAAGUUCUUUGGAAUAGGACAUCAUAGAGGGUGAGAAUCCCGUAUUUGACCAUUAUUUCCAGCUUUGUGAUACACUUUCAAAGAGUCGGAUUGUUUGGGAAUGCAGUCCAAAAUGGGUGGUAAAUUUCAUCUAAAGCUAAAUAUUGGCGAGAGACCGAUAGCGAACAAGUACCGUGAGGGAAAGAUGAAAAGAACUUUGAAAAGAGAGUUAAACGGUACGUGAAAUUGUCAAAAGGGAAGCGUUUGACACCAGUGUUGUUUUCUCGAAAAUCAAUUAAAAAAGGCAGGAUUUUGUGUUGUAUUGACUUUAUCAGCUUUCUGCACUCUUUUCUUGUCUUUUUAAUGCACUUUUCGUUUAACAAGUCAACAUCAAUUUCUUUUGUUGUAAAAGGGUCAUUGGAAGGUGGCUUUCUUUUCGGAGAAAGUGUUUAUAGCCUUUGGCCUCUGCAAUCGGAGAGAUUGAGGUCUGCAGCGUAGAUCCUUCGGGGUUAGAUACAUUUGUGCUAAGUUAUAGCCUUUCAUAGACAACUUGUUGACUAUGAUCAGUCAUGUAGCUUACUCGCUUAUGCUAUUUUACCUACGCUUAGGAUGUUGAAGACUCUACAGAGAUA
rnacentral:rRNA from 1 species